rnacentral:rRNA from 1 species
GACGAACGCUGGCGGCGUGCCUAAUACAUGCAAGUAGAACGCUGAAGAGAGGAGCUUGCUCUUCUUGGAUGAGUUGCGAACGGGUGAGUAACGCGUAGGUAACCUGCCUGGUAGCGGGGGAUAACUAUUGGAAACGAUAGCUAAUACCGCAUAAAAUGGAUUAUCGCAUGAUAAUCCAUUGAAAGGUGCAAAUGCAUCACUACCAGAUGGACCUGCGUUGUAUUAGCUAGUUGGCGGGGUAACGGCUCACCAAGGCGACGAUACAUAGCCGACCUGAGAGGGUGAUCGGCCACACUGGGACUGGGACACGGCCCAGACUCCUGCGGGAGGCAGCAGUAGGGCAUCUUCGGCAAUGGACGGAAGUCUGACCGAGCAACGCCGCGUGAGUGCAGAAGGUUUUCGGAUCGUAAAGCUCUGUUGUAAGAGAAGAACGAGUGUGAGAGUGGAAAGUUCACACUGUGACGGUAUCUUACCAGAAAGGGACGGCUAACUACGUG